rnacentral:rRNA from 1 species
UACGGAGGGGGCUAGCGUUGUUCGGAAUUACUGGGCGUAAAGCGCGUGUAGGCGGGUCCUUAAGUCGGGGGUGAAAGCCCGGGGCUCAACCUCGGAACGGCCUUCGAUACUGAGGACCUGGAGGCUGGGAGAGGUGAGCGGAAUUCCGAGUGUAGAGGUGAAAUUCGUAGAUAUUCGGAGGAACACCAGAGGCGAAGGCGGCUCACUGGACCAGGACUGACGCUGAGACGCGAAAGCGUGGGGAGCAAACAGG